CUUGUACUCCCUCCGUCCGAAAAUACUUGUCAUUGAAAUGGAUGUAUCUAGAUGUAUUUUAGUUCUAGAUACAUCCAUUUUGAUGACAAGUAAUUCCAUACGGAGGGAGUACUUG
rnacentral:pre_miRNA from 1 species